rnacentral:misc_RNA from 1 species
GUGAAUCAUCGAAUUUUUGAACGCAAAUUGCACUCCCUGGUAUUCCGGGGAGUAUGCCUGUUUGAGGGUCGUUAGAAUAAAAAAUCGAGGCGUGGCUCUUUUUUUUAAGGGUGAUCGCGUCGGAAUUGAGCCGUCUUUCAAAAGUUAAUUCCUGUCAAAGUGUCUUGGAACUCAGCAAACUGGUACGAUUUAAGCGUAUUUAACUUCAAU